UACGUAGGGGGCAAGCGUUAUCCGGAUUUACUGGGUGUAAAGGGAGCGUAGACGGCACGGCAAGCCAGAUGUGAAAGCCCGGGGCUCAACCCCGGGACUGCAUUUGGAACUGCUGGGCUAGAGUGUCGGAGAGGCAAGUGGAAUUCCUAGUGUAGCGGUGAAAUGCGUAGAUAUUAGGAGGAACACCAGUGGCGAAGGCGGCUUGCUGGACGAUGACUGACGUUGAGGCUCGAAAGCGUGGGGAGCAAACAGG
rnacentral:rRNA from 1 species